rnacentral:rRNA from 1 species
CCCUUAGACGUUCUGGGCCGCACGCGCGCUACACUGACCAGUGCAACAAGCAUCCGUCCUUGGCCGACAGGCUCGGGCAAUCUUUGAACGCUGGUCGUGAUGGGGAUAGACUUUUGCAAUUAUGGGUCUUCAACGAGGAAUUCCUAGUAAACGCAAGUCAUCAGCUUGCAUUGAUUACGUCCCUGCCCUUUGUACACACCGCCCGUCGCACCUACCGAUUGAAUGGUCCGGUGAAAUCUCGGGACGGCGGCUCGGUCGCUUGCGUCCGACUGCUGAAACUUGAUUAAACCAUAUCAUUUAGAGGAAGGUGAAGUCGUAACA